rnacentral:rRNA from 1 species
AUGUGUAGUCCUGAUGGCAUCAGCAUACUAGAUGGCAAGUCCUACCUAGGAGAUGAUGGCUAUGCAUGUCGGCCAGGUAUUCUUCCACCCUUCAAGAAAACUAGAUACCAUCUGAACGAGUUCUUUGGUAGGAACUAUCCUAGGACUCCUCAGGAACUGCUCAAUCUCAGACACUCUAGCCUUAGAGUAAUGGUUGAGAUGUCAUUUGGAGCUCUGAAGAAUAGGUUUAGGAUCUUGGAUCAGAAGCCAUUCCACCCUUACCCUACCCAGAUUAAGCUUGUUCUUUCAUGUUGCAUCAUUCACAACUUGAUCUUACAAUGGGGUUGUGAUGAACUUGUGUCGGAAGAGGAAGAUGUCACGCCUGAUGAUGUGAUCAGCUCCGACCAUGGUGUGGAGGCGUUUGACAACGAAGCGUGAAAGAACAAAUGGUUGGAGUGGGUUCGGGCAAUGUGGGAUAACAGCGGUCAGACGAGGAUCUGA